rnacentral:lncRNA from 1 species
CUAAUAGUAACAGUAUUAUGCAGCAACAGCAGCAGAACCCCCCGCGAUUCCCGUUUAACUCGUCGAUGGUGAGUUCGUCCGGGCCCGGGCCCGGGCCGAAGCCGUUUUCAGACUAUGUAGAUGGUGGUGGGCAGUCGUCGCCGACCACUGGCGGUGGUAGUGGGCCUGGGGGUGGGUUUAACAUUGAACCUGCUAAGAAGAAGAGAGGCAGGCCGAGGAAGUAUUCGCCUGAUGGGGCUGGUAGUAGCAUUGCUCUGGGGCUUUCGCCCACCCCUGUUACUCCGAUUUCCUCCGCCUCUGUCGUGGGCCUCGCGGAUUCUGGUGGCGGCGGCGGUGGCGGGACCCUUUCAUCCGAGACUCCAGCUAAGAAGCACCGUGGCCGUCCCCCUGGCUCUGGAAAGAGACAGCUUGAUGCUUUAGGUGAUUUUUUAAUUACCCCUCUUCAUAUUACUCUGAUCAUUGGACUAAACCUCUUAUAGUUAUGAUGAUAGUUGUAGUUCUGAGCUUCUUCUGUUUAUUUCUUGCUAAAAGUUACAUUUUUAGAGUAUAAUGGAGUAAAAUUAUGAUUGUGGGGUUGGUAUUGUGGUUGGCAGGAGCUGCAGGAGUUGGGUUUACGCCGCAUGUUAUUACAGUGAAAGCUGGCGAGGUAAAUCGUGAAUGCGGUUCCUUCAAGUGUAAUUUGUCUGGGAGCUGUGUAAUUUGGCUCAUUGAUUAGUCUGUCUUGUUCGUGAUUUUUUUGCAUUGAAUUUGAGAAGAAAGAAAUAUUGAUCACUUUUAAGGAAAUAGCUCCUUUUUAUUGUCUUUGGCUCAUCUGGUUUAUACGAAGCUCAAUUAAGGAAAUAGAAAAGUUAUCUUAAGUGAGUGUGUAACUUAAAAAUCGAUUUCCUAAGUUGAACUGAGCCUUGCUGUCAAAUGCAAAUUCGAGGAGAAGUUUUGUUGGGAGCCCUGGAAAACGAUCACGUCAUUGACUAAUAAAUGAGCUAGAAAUGCUAAUGAGCUGUUUCCUUAUAUUUACGAAAGGUGGGAUACAAUAUGUAAAUUAGCGCAUGGUCCCAUUGCCUGGAGUGCUAGCAUCCUAAAUGACGUUUUUAUGCACAAAAUCUAUUAAAUAUGAAAUAUUAUUUCUCACCUACCGGACACUCUAAAUUGGUUCUGCAUUUCAAAGAUUUAUGCAUGUGAUGUUUUAAACUAAACUUUGAUCAUCCUACAUCACAAUGUCAAUUGAUUGAACUUUUCUGCUUCUCAACUGACUUAAUUUUUGAGGGUUGAAUUGGAUUUGCAUUACAUGUUUCCUAGUUGCAACCUGUGCCUUUAGGAAAUGAAUUUUUGAGUAUGUUUAAAGAGCCCCAAAGUAGUGAUGGUGUUAUCCUAUUCCAGUUGAUAUCAAUUAAUGAGAUUCAAGCUACAUCUCUACAGAGACAUUGACCGUGUAGAGACAAAGCUUUUGUUCUUCAAUUCGUAUUACCUAUGUUUCUAUGUGCACACUACAUCGUCGGCAGAAUAAGGAGGGGAACAAAACAUGCACCAUGUAUAUGGAAAAUAUUUUACACGCCUUGAAAAUUAUUUAAAGUACUUAAAGUUGUACAUCUUACUAAUGUGAUCUAAAACUAUCUCUGGUAUACUUAUGAACACGGUUUUUGGCAACAUGAAGUUUGGUAAAAUAAUUAAUGCGAAAUUUGUCCUUUUGUUUUUAGUUCCCAAGGAAAAAACGGUUUUCGUUGUACUUGCCUGUAAAAUCGGUUCGCUGAAUCUCAUUGUUCUUGUUAUUUAUUGCUGCAUAAUUGCUAAUGUCCAACUUGACUAAAGAACUUUGAACGCCUUAUGCUUCUUAAACAUAAUUAUCAAAAUCUUGAGAAGACAGUUUUGCAAUUUAUUCCUGCUUAAGUUUCUUCUGUAUCAACUUGUAUUUUUAAAUGAGUUUAUCAUAGUAAUGGUUUAUUUUCAAUAUAUGUUGAAAUUAAUUUAUCUUUUGUUGAUUUUAAUUGUGUCUUGCAGGAUAUAGCAUCGAAGAUCAUGGCUUUUUCACAGCAAGGGCCACGUACUGUUUGUAUCCUAUCUGCAAAUGGUGCCAUCUGCAAUGUGACCCUCAGACAACCAGCAAUGUCUGGUGGCACUGUGACAUAUGAAGUGAGUGUGUUAAUCAAUUUCUAGGCUCCCAUGAUAACAUGUUUUACUGCUGUGCAUGUACCUUUGUGGCUGGAUGCAUGUACAGAAGGUCAUAAUUGCGCCAACUGUUGUGAUUGGGAUAUUAUCAGUUUCUAAUUUGUGGACAAUGGAGUCUAUUUUAGCAGGUUGUUGACAUUAUGAUGCAAAUUCAUAUUUGAUAUUAUUCCUAUCUACCAAGAAUAAGUGCAGUUUUUUAUGUAGUUUUCUUUAUUGUUGUAAUAUGGGUUCCCCAGUGUUAUUGUACGUAGUAUGCUUAUGAAGUUUCGAGCUUUACUACUUGUUCUCCAUUACAGUGUUUUCUUUCCUGUUUUGUACUGAUUUUCUUGUGUUUAUAGAGGUGGGAUGUAGAGUCCUCGAGUAUCAUGGGUUUGAUGGUCCUUUUACUGUUAGAGGCCUUUGUUUAUACUUGAACUUGGCUUUUGAUGUCAGACUCAAGUAUCAAGAGAGAAAAAUGAGGAAAUUUCUCAAUUUUAGAGUUUAUUACAUGAAUUACUGCAGUCCUUGGAGAUGCCAACCUUUUGUUUUUUGACUUCUCAGAAAGUACUUGGAACUUAACUAUCGUGGAGUUGAUAUUCAGUAUUAUGCAGCAACAGCAGCAGAACCCCCCGCGAUUCCCGUUUAACUCGUCGAUGGUGAGUUCGUCCGGGCCCGGGCCCGGGCCGAAGCCGUUUUCAGACUAUGUAGAUGGUGGUGGGCAGUCGUCGCCGACCACUGGCGGUGGUAGUGGGCCUGGGGGUGGGUUUAACAUUGAACCUGCUAAGAAGAAGAGAGGCAGGCCGAGGAAGUAUUCGCCUGAUGGGGCUGGUAGUAGCAUUGCUCUGGGGCUUUCGCCCACCCCUGUUACUCCGAUUUCCUCCGCCUCUGUCGUGGGCCUCGCGGAUUCUGGUGGCGGCGGCGGUGGCGGGACCCUUUCAUCCGAGACUCCAGCUAAGAAGCACCGUGGCCGUCCCCCUGGCUCUGGAAAGAGACAGCUUGAUGCUUU